AUGAACGCUGGCGGCGUGCCUCAUACCUGCAAGUCGAGCGAACAGACGAGGAGCUUGCUCCUCUGACGUUAGCGGCGGACGGGUGAGUAACACGUGGAUAACCUACCUAUAAGACUGGGAUAACUUCGGGAAACCGGAGCUCAUACCGGAUAAUAUAUUGAACCGCAUGGUUCAAUAGUGAAAGUCGGUUUUGCUGUCACUUAUAGAUGGAUCCGCGCCGCAUUAGCUAGUUGGUAAGGUAACGGCUUACCAAGGCAACGAUGCGUAGCCGACCUGAGAGGGUGAUCGGCCACACUAGAACUGAGACACGGUCCAGACUCCUAAGGGAGGCAGCAGUAGGGAAUCUUCCGCAAUGGGCGAAAGCCUGACGGAGCAACGGCGCGUGAGUGAUGAAGGUCUUCGGAUCGUAAAACUCUGUUAUUAGGGAAGAACAAAUGUGUAAGUAACUAUGCACGUCUUGACGGUACCUAAUCAGAAAGCCACGGCUAACUACGUG
rnacentral:rRNA from 1 species